CGGGCCCUAGAAAUUUCAUUUGUAUUUCUGCGUGUCACCAGGUAAAUGUGGCUCUGGUCCCAGCCUGACCCAGUCAUACCUAGAGAUGAGUUCCACAUUCUCAAAGAGGACUGAGUCCCAACAGAAUCCUGCGACCACAAAUGAGCGUCAGAACUACUGCAAGCACAUGAAGGUUCUGGCUGAGGACGGUUUUUGCCAUCAGGAGUCCUGCUGGAGAACAGGAUAGUUGCUGCUGGUGGAAGAGGCUCUUCAUCCUAUCAGACGUCUCUCUGUGUUACGAUUUCUCUCAGGAGGCUCUUUCACUCGUUUCCAGUGUGUUACUCUUUCAGUUUAUCACCUGUGGACUGGCUGCGGUCACUGUCGACUGGGAGCUGAGAUUGUUGACAAGUGAGCAGAGCUUCCUGUGACAACCUCUCCUCUCCGUGGUCCAGGGCUGGGUGCCUGUGGUCAGCCUCCUUCUCCACUGCCUCCUUCUUCAGUGGCUGACGGCAUGGCUCUGCCCGAGUUGCAUCUGUGGGGGCUGGAAAGGUCUAACUUGACUGGAAGGGAACUGGGCCAUUGUUCUCUCUGCCCCAGACAGAUGUUAAAACCAACUUUCUUAGUUACUCCCUGAUCCUUAGAGGCCAGUCACCAAUUCUCUCUCUGCCAGCUGCUGCUUGACUGCCCCGUAGACUCCAGUGUCCAGGCAGCCCUUUGAAGCCAAGUUUCUGGUCUUGCCCCUUGCCGGCUAGAAACAUGUCUACAUUCUUUGCCUCCACAAACCUGGAGAGGGCAGCCCAUUUCUAAUGGAGUUACUUCUCCCUGCUCUGCUGUCAGCAAAGUAAGCUAGACAACGGCUUUUGACUGGAGAAUGUCCAAUGAGCCUAACUAGUGUCACUCUGGGCCACAUAGGUUAGAUUCUGGAAUAGUCUGUGAAGUGUCUGCAUUGGAACACUGUCCCCUCCUUCACUGAGCAGUCAGGUGAUGGUGCAGAGGAACUCCAAAGCCCAGCACUCCAAAGCUUUCUCCAAAUUCUUCCACUUCUAAAUUUUUGGGCUCAACUUUGACCCCUUAUAAAGUUCUCUAAGAGUGGACUAAGGUCUAUAAAAAUGACUUUCUGAGCAACUCCCUUGCAAAUCCUGGGAAAGAAAAAAAAA